rnacentral:rRNA from 1 species
CGGGUGGUAAUGCCGGAUGUUCCACAUGAUCGCAUGUGAUUGUGGGAAAGAUUCUAUCGGCGUGGGAUGGGGUCGCGUCCUAUCAGCUUGUUGGUGAGGUAACGGCUCACCAAGGCUUCGACGGGUAGCCGGCCUGAGAGGGCGACCGGCCACAUUGGGACUGAGAUACGGCCCAGACUCCUACGGGAGGCAGCAGUGGGGAAUAUUGCACAAUGGGCGCAAGCCUGAUGCAGCGACGCCGCGUGAGGGAUGGAGGCCUUCGGGUUGUAAACCUCUUUUGUUUGGGAGCAAGCCUUCGGGUGAGUGUACCUUUCGAAUAAGCGCCGGCUAACUACGUGCCAGCAGCCGCGGUAAUACGUAGGGCGCAAGCGUUAUCCGGAUUUAUUGGGCGUAAAGGGCUCGUAGGCGGCUCGUCGCGUCCGGUGUGAAAGUCCAUCGCUUAACGGUGGAUCUGCGCCGGGUACGGGCGGGCUGGAGUGCGGUAGGGGAGACUGGAAUUCCCGGUGUAACGGUGGAAUGUGUAGAUAUCGGAAAAAAAACACCC